rnacentral:rRNA from 1 species
AGCUACAAUAGCGUAUAUUAAAGUUGUUGAGGUUAAAAAGCUCGUAGUCGAAUCUCAGUCCUCGGCGGGCGGUCCACUGUUUGUGGCUACUGUUUGCCGGGACAUUUUACUGACCUCGACCCGCAGUGUUCUUAACCGGGCGUUGCGGGCGAUCAGUACGUUUACUUUGAAAAAAUUAGAGUGCUUAAAGCAGUCGUUUUGACCGAAUAAUGUUGCAUGGAAUAAUGGAAUAGGAUCUCGGUCCUAUUUUGUUGGUCUUAGGGACCAGAGAUAAUGAUUAAGAGGGACAGACGGGGGCAUUCGUAUUGCGGCGCUAGAGGUGAAAUUCUUGGACCGUCGCAAGACGAACUAAAGCGAAAGCAUUUGCCAAGAAUGUUUUCU